CGUGUAGGCGGUUUGGCAAGUCGAGUGUGAAAUCCCACGGCUCAACCGUGGAACUGCGCUCGAAACUGCCUUACUUGAGUGCGGGAGAGGUGUGCGGAAUUCCUGGUGUAGCGGUGGAAUGCGUAGAUAUCAGGAAGAACACCGGUGGCGAAGGCGGCACACUGGCCCGGCACUGACGCUGAGGCGCGAAAGCGUGGGGAGCGAACG
rnacentral:rRNA from 1 species